AAUGAGUUGAAUACAAAUGAUUCUUCGAGUAGCAAGGAGAGGGCAAGUCUGGUGCCAGCAGCCGCGGUAAUUCCAGCUCUCCUAGUGUAUCUCGUUAUUGCUGCGGUUAAAAAGCUCGUAGUUGGAUCUAGGUUACGUGCUGCAGUUCGCAAUUUGCGUCAACUGUAGUCGUGACUUCUAAUUUGCUGGUUUGAGGUUGGGUUCGCCCUUCAACUGCCAGCAGGUUUACCUUGAAUAAAUCAGAGUGCUCAAAACAAGUGUUUGCUUGAAUAGCUCAUCAUGGAAUAAUGAAACAGGACUUCGGUUCUUUUUGUUGGUUCUAGAACUGAUUUAAUGGUUAAGAGGGACAAACCGGGGGCAUUCGUAUCAUUACGCGAGAGGUGAAAUUCGUGGACCGUAGUGAGACGCCCAACAGCGAAAGCAUUUGCCAAGAAUGUCUUCAUUAAUCAAGAACGAAAGUCAGAGGUUCGAAGGCGAUUAGAUACCGCCCUAGUUCUGACCGUAAACGAUGCCAUCUCGCGAUUCGGAGGGUUUUUGCCCUGCCGAGGAGCUAUCCGGAAACGAAAGUCUUUCGGUUCCGGGGGUAGUAUGGUUGCAAAGCUGAAACUUAAAGAAAUUGACGGAAGGGCACCACAAGGCGUGGAGCUUGCGGCUUAAUUUGACUCAACACGGGAAAACUCACCCGGUCCGGACACCAUUAGGACUGACAGAUUGAAAGCUCUUUCUCGAUUUGGUGGUUGGUGGUGCAUGGCCGUUCUUAGUUGGUGGAGUGAUUUGUCUGGUUUAUUCCGAUAACGAGCGAGACUCUAGCCUGCUAAAUAGUUGGCGAAUCUUCGGGUUCGUAUAACUUCUUAGAGGGAUAAGCGGUGUUUAGCCGCACGAGAUUGAGCGAUAACAGGUCUGUGAUGCCCUUAGAUGUCCGGGGCUGCACGCGUGCUACACUGGUGGACUCAGCGGGUUUUUCCUAUGCCGAAAGGUAUCGGUAAACCGUUGAAAUUCUUCCAUGUCCGGGAUAGGGUAUUGUAAUUAUUGCCCUUAAACGAGGAAUGCCUAGUAAGUGUGAGUCAUCAGCUCACGUUGAUUACGUCCCUGCCCUUUGUACACACCGCCCGUCGCUAUCCGGGACUGAACUGAUUCGAGAAGAGUGGGGACUGUCGCUUCGAGGUUUAACGACUUCGUUGUUGCGGAAACCAUUUUUAUCGCAUUGGUUUGAACCGGGUAAAAGUCGUAACAAGGUAGCUGUAGGUGAACCUGCAGCUG
rnacentral:rRNA from 2 species